rnacentral:lncRNA from 1 species
CUCAGUGUAAGUUAUUUUCCGUCAGAAAUCAUUUUCUCAAAGGGAAAAAUGUCCCGAUAGCUCUCCAACUCUUUUGCAAGUUAAGUUUUGCCCCUUCAACAAUUAACAGUAAAGUUUUGGUGCUCGAUCUAAUAAAAGAGUAUAUUUGUGGCCCUUCUAUCAAAUCCAGCAGCUAAGAUUGAUGGAAAGCAUUAUCAUUCUGUACUUUUCUCUUUUUCUCUCUCAUUUUCUCCUUCUUUUGCUUUCCUUUUUCCCCUCGUUUUUCUUUUUGUUUUCCUCCCUGAUUCCCUUGAUUCUCCCCUCUUUCUCUUCUCCC